UUCAGAUAUUAACAUUUAUAUGUUUAGCACAUUAUUUUCUAUGUCUUAACAUCAUUAAAUAUGUUUUUUAAACGUUUGGAUAUAUUUCUUCUACAUAUUUCAUUAUUUAUGCCAUUUCAUAUGUGUGGUGUUAUGUAAUGGUUUUUAUGGUUCUCGUUUUUUUUUAAACUACGCAUUUAGAAAUACGUUAUUUUACUCAUAUUGUUCAGUUUUAGGAAAUAUAUACCAUAUACAUCAUUUACAAGAUUUACAUAGUAUGUAAAAUAUUUUGUGUUGAUUUUAAAAGACUGUAUUUCUAAGGUAUUCUCUGUAUUGGUCGAGCUAUUCCAGAAGGCUGCAGGAUUAAAAAUUACUUUGAAACUUUUACAAAUACAUUUUCUAGAUGUAAAACACUAAUCUUUUGUAGGUUGUGAAUUUUGAUUGUCCUAAAAUAUGUUUUUUUUUGUUUUAUACAUGGUAAUAAUACCUUACACGAGCACACAGUCUUCAAGCAUCCUUUCACAGAAGAAAAGAUGGAGGUGAUCUCAGACAAAGGUGCUUAAUUGUGAUCUGAUGAGGCCUAAUCGUCUGUCAAGGUUUAAAUCUGAUGAAGGAAAAUAAGCAUCGGAAGACAAAGGUUUAUGAUAAAUGGAGGUGUAUAUAACACAGUUCUGUCCUAUCUACAACAACAACUUGUACACUAAUUAAAAAAUGGGAAAUCAUCGGGUUUUACCUCAAUUUUCCUCAUUUAGACGAAUAUCGAAAGUGGCAGUGGCAAGAGUUUUUGAUGCAGUCAAAUCUACAGGGUGAUACAAAUACUACUUCACAGAUACAGCAGAAGAUAUAGAUAGAUAUGUUGGAUUACAAUUAUAUAUGGGACAAAUAAAUCAAGAUUUUGUACAACAAAUCGAUGGAUGUAUACAGUUCCAAAGCAGUACAUUUAUCAUUUUAACGAAUAUUACUAACAAUGCAUCAGGACUUAUAAGUAUAUCUAAAAGUUUAUUUCUUUUGGGUAAAUAUAUUUAAACUGGUUUUUAAUGUUCUUCGGUGGAUUUCAUGAUUUCUAAAUUUAAUUAUGUAGGAAAAAAAAUCCAGUGAGUCUCUGAGUUACAUUUUUAUGUCCCUUUAUUGUCAUAGGAAAAUUCAGAACAUCUGUUUUUAAUUUGCACCAAUUUUUGGCUUUUGAUCACUCCUUAUUCCUUUUGGGAGAAUACCAUCUUGAGGAAUUUAAUUUCGUGUUGUUUUUGGUUUACUUUCUUUUCUCUAUAAUAGCUUGAUUUUUCAUUGAUUCUAAAAAAUAUUUCAUUGAUUGUAUAUUUCUAUAAGUCUUCUUUUACUUGUAUUAUGUUUCUGAUGGUGUUAUUUAAUACUUUUUGCUUGUGUAAUUCUUUGUACAAAAUUUCAGUUUUGAUGGAUUCAUUUCCAUGUCAUUUUUUCAGAUCAUAUGCCAUGAAUUCCUGUCAUUUUACUUAUUCUGUUGCUUUAGUUUGUGUGCGUUUAAAUAAAAUUUAAACACACUUAAAAAUCUGAAGACUAAUUUCCGACCAAUUCCUGGCGCAUUCGCCAUUUAUUUAAAAACCGUAACUACUCCACAGGAUAUCACUUCUGCCUUUCCCAGCAUUUUUCCAAUUAAUUUCCCCGAGUAACAUCGACUCCAGAGCAU
rnacentral:lncRNA from 1 species